GAUGAACGCUGGCGGCGUGCUUAACACAUGCAAGUCGAACGGUAAGGCUCCUCCUUGCAGGUGUGCUCGAGUGGCGUACGUGUGAGUUACACGAGGUUGAUCUGCCCUUCACUUCGGUCUAAGCCUGUGAAACUGGUUCUAGUACUUCAUAGGUCGCUGCUUUGGAUGUCGUUGUGGAGAUUUUUUCGGUGUGGGAUGCGCUCGCGGCCUAUCAGCUUGUUGGUGGGGUAAUGGCCUACCAAGGCGUCGACGGGUAGCCGGCCUGAGAGGGUGAACGGCCACAUUGGGACUGAGAUACGGCCCAGACUCCUACGGGAGGCAGCAGUGGGGAAUAUUGCGCAAUGGGCGGAAGCCUGAUGCAGCGACGCCGCGUGGGGGAUGACGGCCUUCGGGUUGUAAACUCCUUUCGGCAGGGACGAAGCGAAAGUGACGGUACCUGGAUAAGAAGCACCGGCUAACUACGUG
rnacentral:rRNA from 1 species